rnacentral:tRNA from 1 species
GUUUCCAAGGUGUAAUGGUUAGUAAUCUGGACUCGGAAUCCAGUGAUCCGAGUUCAAAUCUCGGUGGAACCU